rnacentral:RNase_P_RNA from 1 species
ACAGGAAGCUGGGUGGUUGCUCUUUUGCAAAAAAGAGAGGAAAGUCCGAACACUCUCCGCCGCUGUGGCGGAUCUACAGGUCAGGGUAAUACCCUGCCAGAGUAAUCUGAGAGGUGCGAACAGAGACGCCAGGAAUUGAAAGAAACCUGGCAUCCAGCAAUGGAUGAGCUUUGGGGAUAACCCCAGAGGUGAAACGGCUAAAUCCUGCCCGAGUGCAAGAGCAAACCAGGAGAUCUGCUUUCAUGUGGAACUUUUGGAAAGGUGGCUCGCUUGAUCCCGCCCAGUAAUGGGCAGGACAGAUAGAUAAUCACCCUCGACAGAAUUCGGCUUACAGGCUUCCUGUGACA